rnacentral:rRNA from 1 species
CCUACGGGAGGCAGCAGUGAGGAAUAUUGGUCAAUGGGCGCGAGCCUGAACCAGCCAAGUCGCGUGAGGGAAGACGGUCCUAUGGAUUGUAAACCUCUUUUGUCGGGGAGCAAAAGACGCCACGCGUGCCGUUACGCGAGUACCCGAUGAAUAAGCAUCGGCUAACUCCGUGCCAGCAGCCGCGGUAAUACGGAGGAUCCGAGCGUUAUCCGGAUUUAUUGGGUUUAAAGGGAGCGUAGAUGGGUUGUUAAGUCAGUUGUGAAAGUUUGCGGCUCAACCGUAAAAUUGCAAUUGAUACUGGCAGCCUUGAGUACAGGUGAGGUAGGCGGAAUUCGUGGUGUAGCGGUGAAAUGCUUAGAUAUCACGAAGAACUCCGAUUGCGAAGGCAGCUUGCUAAACUGCCACUGACAUUGAUGCUCGAAAGUGUGGGUAUCAAACAGGAUUAGAUACCCGGGUAGUC